GAUGAACGCUGGCGGCGUGCCUAAUACAUGCAAGUCGAGCGAACAGAUAAGGAGCUUGCUCCUUUGACGUUAGCGGCGGACGGGUGAGUAACACGUGGGUAACCUACCUAUAAGACUGGAAUAACUCCGGGAAACCGGUGCUAAUGCCGGAUAACAUGUUGAACCGCAUGGUUCUACAGUGAAAGGCGGCUUUGCUGUCACUUAUAGAUGGACCCGCGCCGUAUUAGCUAGUUGGUGAGGUAACGGCUCACCAAGGCAACGAUACGUAGCCGACCUGAGAGGGUGAUCGGCCACACUGGAACUGAGACACGGUCCAGACUCCUACGGGAGGCAGCAGUAGGGAAUAUUGCGCAAUGGGCGAAAGCCUGACGGAGCAACGCCGCGUGAGUGAUGAAGGUCUUCGGAUCGUAAAACUCUGUUAUUAGGGAAGAACAAAUGCGUAAGUAACUGUGCGCGUCCUGACGGUACCUAAUCAGAAAGCCACGGCUAACUACGUG
rnacentral:rRNA from 1 species